ACUACCAUCACAACAGUUUGCAGCUCUGAGAUCCAAGUAAUAUUCGAUAGCUUGCUUUAACCCAGGAAUAUCUUCAUGCUCAUCCUCCCAAGUUGCCUGAUCGUAUCCUAAUUCCCUCCAUUUAACGAGAUACGUCGCUCUACCAUCUCUUGAAAGCCUAUGAUUAAUUACUCGAUGCACUACAAGCCACUCUGGCCGAACUCCGUAACGAUAGAAUCGCUCCUCUAAAUUGUAUUCAUCCCUAUUAGUUGCAACGUCCUGUUCUUUUAAACGUUUUACUCGGGAAUCGCUUUCGUCUAAUGAAUCGGAUUUUUUCUUUUUCUUCUUUUUCUUCCCUUUCUUAUCUUCACUACGAGCUUUUCGUUUUUUUCCUUUCUUCUUCUUUCUUUCCUCUGGUUCAUAAUCAUCAUCUUCUUC
rnacentral:misc_RNA from 1 species